rnacentral:misc_RNA from 1 species
CGAGAUUUCUAGGGUUUCGACCGUUGAGAGUUAUGGGUCUCUGGACCCUGCUUGAGGGCUUCCUCCUCCUUGCAAAUGCAUUGGCGAUCCUCAACGAAGACCGCUUUCUCGCUCCCCGAGGAUGGAGCUUCGCCGAAGUCUCGGGUGGCCGCCAAGUGAAGUCACUUAAGGGGCAGCUUAUAGGGCUCAUCUACGCGACACAAUACCUGAGGGUCCCUCUUAUAAUCCUCAAUGUCAUCACAAUCCUUGUGAAGCUUGUUUCAGGAUGAGGUUUUACUUCUGAG